AAUUGCUAGUAAUCGCGGAUCAGCAUGCCGCGGUGAAUACGUUCCCGGGCCUUGUACACACCGCCCGUCACACCAUGGGAGCCGGUAAUACCCGAAGUCAGUAGUCCAACCUCGUGAGGACGCUACCGAAGGUAGGAUUGGCGACUGGGGUGAAGUCGUAACAAGGUAUC
rnacentral:rRNA from 1 species